rnacentral:rRNA from 1 species
UCUGAAUGGGGAAACCCACACGGAGUCAUAUCCGUGUAUCCUAUACUGAAUCAAAUAGGUAUAGGAAGGGAACUGCCUGAACUGAAACAUCUAAGUAGGGCAAGGAAGAGACAUCAACCGAGAUUCCGUAAGUAGUGGCGAGCGAACGCGGAAGAGGCCAAACCGAGGGUAGAAAUACCUUCGGGGUUACGGACUGCUUUUAACAUCUCAACUGUUAACCGAAGGGUAUGGGAAGGCCCACCGAAGAAUGUGAGAGUCAUGUAGGUGAAAACGGGAGAGAGUGCGCAGGAUCCAGAGUACGGCCAGACACGUGAAACCUGGUCGGAAGUCGGGGGGACCACCCUCCAAGCCUAAAUACUACCCAGUGACCGAUAGCGUAUAGUACUGUGAAGGAAAGGUGAAAAGCACCCCGGGAGGGGAGUGAAAGAGAACCUGAAACCCUGUGCCUACAAGCACACAGAGCACGUCAAAGUGUGAUGUGGUACUUUUUGUAGAACGGUCCGGCGAGCGAAUGUAUGCAGCGAGGUUAAGAUGCUGGAGCAUCGGAGCCGAAGCGAGAGCGAGUCUGAACAGGGCGUAUAGUUGCAUGCAUUGGGCCCGAAACCGGGUGACCUACCCAUGGUCAGGUUGAAGUGGAGGUAAAACUCCAUGGAGGACCGAACCGACCCCCGUUGAAAAGGUGGCGGAUGAACUGUGGGUAGCGGAGAAAUUCCAAUCGAACCCGGAGAUAGCUGGUUCUCCCCGAAAUAGCUUUAGGGCUAGCCUCAUCUUAGAUUACCGGAGGUAAAGCACUGAAUGGCCUAGGGGUCGAGAGAUUACCGAAGCCUAUCAAACUCUGAAUGCCGGAUAAUCGGUGGAUGGGAGUCAGACAAUGUCAGAUAAGUGUCAUUGUCAAAAGGGAAACAGCCCAGAUCUACAGCUAAGGUCCCAAAGCAGGUUUAAGUGGAAAAGGAUGUGGAGUUGCUAAGACAACCAGGAUGUUGGCUUAGAAGCAGCCACUCAUUCAAAGAGUGCGUAAUAGCUCACUGGUCGAGUGACUCUGCGCCGAAAAUUCAACGGGGCUAAAACCUGCACCGAAGCUUAGGCAGAAGUUUAUUGAACAAUGGAGAUCAUCCGAAUUUUGAACGCCGGAGGGCGGACAAAAUUCCGCGCAAGAAGAAAGGCUGCGGGAUGGUGGCUGUUGUUCAAUAAACUUCUGGGUAGGGGAGCGUUGUGUACGAGGUGAAGCAUUAGCGCAAGCGGGUGUGGAUUGUACACAAGUGAGAAUGCCGGAAUGAGUAGCGCGAAUGAUGUGAGAAUCAUCAUGGCCGAAAGCCUAAGGUUUUUGGAGGAAGGUUCGUCCGCUCCAAGUUAGCCGGGAGCUAAGGUGAGGCCUGACGGCGUAGCCGAUGCACAUACGGUGGAGAUUCCGUAGCCGCCAAAGGAUUUAAGCAGGGGGACACUUUUGAGACGUUUAUGCGGGCUGUUGGUUGCCCGUCGCAAGGGACUGAAAUAAAGUAGGGAAGAUAAGCGUGGAGAGAGGCGAGAAAAGCCCUGUGUAUAUCCGAGGCGCCCGUACCGCAAACCGACACAGGUAGGUAGGAAGAAGAUUCUAAGGCCAACGGGAGAAGGGUUGUUAAGGAACUCGGCAAGUUGACCCCGUAACUUCGGGAGAAGGGGUGCUCGUGAAAGCGAGCCGCAGAGAAUAGGCCCAAGCAACUGUUUAGCAAAAACACAGGUCUGUGCUAAAUCGAAAGAUGACGUAUACGGGCUGACACCUGCCCGGUGCUGGAAGGUUAAGAGGAGAUGUGCAAGCAUUGAAUUGAAGCCCCAGUAAACGGCGGCCGUAACUAUAACGGUCCUAAGGUAGCGAAAUUCCUUGUCAGGUAAGUUCUGACCCGCACGAAUGGUGUAAUGAUUUGGGCACUGUCUCAACAGCCCGCCCGGCGAAAUUGUAGUACCGGUGAAGAUGCCGGUUACCCGCGACAAGACGGAAAGACCCCAUGGAGCUUUACUGUAGCCUAAUAUUGGGUCUCGGUAUUACAUGUACAGGAUAGGUGGGAGGCAAGGAAACCCGGGCGUCAGCUCGGGCGGAGCCACCCUUGGGAUACCACCCUUGUGAUACUGAGAUUCUAACCUGCAGCCCUGAAUCGGGUUGGGGGACAUUGUUAGGUGGGCAGUUUGACUGGGGCGGUCGCCUCCAAAAAAGUAACGGAGGCGUUCAAAGGUUCGCUCAGCACGGACGGAAACCGUGCCUUAGAGUGCAAACGCAUAAGCGAGCCUAACUGCGAGACUGACGGGUCGAGCAGUAACGAAAGUUGGAGUUAGUGAUCCGGUGGUAUGUGAGUGGAAAUGCCAUCGCUCAACGGAUAAAAGUUACCCUGGGGAUAACAGGCUGAUCUCCCCCAAGAGUCCACAUCGACGGGGAGGUUUGGCACCUCGAUGUCGGCUCAUCGCAUCCUGGGGCUGUAUUCGGUCCCAAGGGUUUGGCUGUUCGCCAAUUAAAGCGGUACGCGAGCUGGGUUCAGAACGUCGUGAGACAGUUCGGUCCCUAUCUGUCGUGGGCGCAGGAUAUUUGAUGGGAUCUGUCCCUAGUACGAGAGGACCGGGAUGGACGCACCUCUGGUGCACCAGUUGUCACGCCAGUGGCACAGCUGGGCAGCUAUGUGCGGAUCGGAUAAACGCUGAAAGCAUCUAAGCGUGAAGCCGGCCCAAAGAUAAGAUAUCCCACUGUUUUAAACAGGUAAGACCCCUUGAAGACUACAAGGUUGAUAGGCACAAAGUGUAAGCGCCGUGAGGCGUUCAGCUGGUGUGUACUAAUCGGUCGAGGGCUUGACCACA